rnacentral:rRNA from 1 species
AGAAUCAACGCUGGCGGCGUGCCUCAGACAUGCAAGUCGAACGCGAAAGUCCCCUUCGGGGGGCGAGUAGAGUGGCGCACGGGUGAGUAACACGUAGGUAAUCUACCUUUGGAUGGGGGAAUAACAACCGGAAACGGUUGCUAAUACCGCAUAAUGCAGCGGCACCUAAUGGUGACAGUUGUUAAAGCGGGGGAUCGAAAGACCUCGCGUCUGAAGAGGAGCCUGCGGCGGAUUAGCUAGUUGGUAAGGUAACGGCUUACCAAGGCGAUGAUCCGUA